rnacentral:rRNA from 1 species
AGCCCACUAGCUAGCUCACCCACCUAAACCCAAUAACCCCCUAUUUAUAACCCCAAAUUAAACUACCAACAUUUUUAAACAAAUCAUUUUUCCCCCCAAGUAUGGGCGACAGAAAAGGACCUCUCGUAAGCAACAGCAAUAGUACCGCAAGGGAACGCUGAAAGAGAAAUGAAACAAAUCAGUUAAGCAUAAGAAAGCAGAGCUCAGCCCUCGUACCUUUUGCAUCAUGAUUUAGCAAGAAAGCAUCAAGCAAAAAGUCUUUUAGUUUGAUACCCCGAAACCAAGUGAGCUACUCCAAGACAGCCUUUAGGGCGCACCCGUCUCUGUGGCAAAAGAGUGGGAUGAUCUUUGAGUAGAGGUGACAGACCUACCGAACCUGGUUAUAGCUGGUUGUCCAAGAAUCGAAUAGGAGUUCAGCCUUUUGCCAUCUUUCCCCAAACACCGGCCACUCCCCAAGAGUUAAAGAUAGGCAAGGGAGUUAAUCAAAGGGGGUACAGCCCCUUUGAAAAAGAUACAACUUUACCAGAAGGGUUAAGAUCAUAUCAUUCACUUAAAGGACCGUGUUCUAGUUGGCCUAAGAGCAGCCACCCACACAGAAAGCGUUAAAGCUCAAACACCCCUCCUUCCCAUCAUUUAGACCACCCCAAUCUUACCCCCCUACACCUACUGGACCUUCCCAUACCCCUAUGGGAGAGACUAUGCUAAUAUGAGUAAUAAGAGACCCCGCGUCUCUCCCUGCACAAGUGUACAUCGGAACGAACUAACACCGAAAAUUAACGGCCCCAUUCCCAGAGGGAAAUGGAACAUUAUGAUCAAGCCACUAGAAACACACCCAAAUCACCGAACCGUUAACCUUACACCAGAGUGCAUACAAGGAAAGACUAAAAGAAAAAGAAGGAACUCGGCA